rnacentral:rRNA from 1 species
UACGUAGGGACCAAGCGUUGUUCGGAUUUACUGGGCGUAAAGGGCGCGUAGGCGGCAAUUCAAGUCAUCUGUGAAAUCUCCGGGCUUAACUCGGAACGGUCAGAUGAUACUGCUUUGCUAGAGUACAGAAGGGGCAAUCGGAAUUCUUGGUGUAGCGGUGAAAUGCGUAGAUAUCAAGAGGAACACCUGAGGUGAAGACGGGUUGCUGGGCUGAUACUGACGCUGAGGCGCGAAAGCGUGGGGAGCAAACAGG